rnacentral:rRNA from 1 species
CCUACGGGGUGCAGCAGUGGGGGAUAUUGCACAAUGGGGGAAACCCUGAUGCAGCGACGCCGCGUGUGGGAAGACGGUCCUCUGGAUUGUAAACCACUGUCCCCAGGGACGAAGAUGACGGUACCUGGGGAGGAAGCUCCGGCUAACUACGUGCCCGCAGCCGCGGUAAUACGUAGGGAGCGAGCGUUGUCCGUAAUUACUGGGUGUAAAGGGAGCGUAGGCGGGGAUGCAAGUUGGGUGUCAAAACUACCGGCUCAACUGGUAGUCGCACUCAAAACUGCAGCUAGUGAGUGAAGUAGAGGCAGGCGGAAUUCCUAGUGUAGCGGUGAAAUGCGUAGAUAUUAGGAGGAACACCAGUGGCGAAGGCGGCCUGCUGGGCUUUUACUGACGCUGAGGCUCGAAAGUGUGGGGAGCAAACAGGAUUAGAUACCCUUGUAGUC